rnacentral:rRNA from 1 species
UGGCGGCGAUAGCGCGGUGGUCCCACCUGACCCCAUGCCGAACUCAGAAGUGAAACGCCGUAGCGCCGAUGGUAGUGUGGGGUCUCCCCAUGUGAGAGUAGGGAACUGCCAUGC